rnacentral:piRNA from 1 species
UAUAUAAUUGAAAAUUCCAAA